CUAUCGUUGUAAGUUUUCAAUGGUCUAUUGUUCUAUUUACGUGUCAGAGCUUCUUUAGUCUCCGCGAAAAGAGUUAGGUAAUUCUCAAGUUUAUUUGAUAGUGCAGCUGGUGUUAAAUAUUUAUGUGUUUGGGCUGCUCAUUGUUUUAGCUGGAUCUUGAAAGUUAAGAUAAAAACAUCGAGAGAGGGUCGCCACAUCAGCCAACGAAGGGUCAGUCGGGGAACCGACCUCCUCAAAUCGUUAACUUAUUGGCAACUAGGCUUCUAUGCUGAUACCUCAACGAUGCAGGAUCACCGUUAAAUUUCAAAAAUAUCAUGAAACUAGACUUGUGAGAUGGAGAGCAACGAAGAAGGGUCACUGAAUCAGCCAGCGAAGGGCCAGUCAGAAAUCCGACCUCCUCAAAUCGUUAACCUGUCAGCGACAAUUGUUAUUGCCGAUCAACCCCACUCUGUCUGUUCCAUCUUUCUUUUUUAUAAAAAUAGAAUGAUAUUAAUAUAAAUAAGUAA